UUAAGAUACUAAGAGCAUACGGUGGAUGCCUUGGCGAUAUCUGCCGACGAAGGACGUGACAAGCUGCGAAAAGCUGCGGAGAGAUGCAAAUAAUCGGCGACCCGCAGACAUCCGAAUGGAGAAAUCCGGCUGUGAUGAUGCACAGCCAUCCAUGCCCAAGAGCAUGAGAAGGGAACCGGGCGAACUGAAACAUCUAAGUAACCCGAGGAAAAGAAAUCAAACGAGAUACCCCAAGUAGCGGCGAGCGAACAGGGAAGAAGCCCAAACCGGUGAAGGAAACUUUACCGGGGUUGAGGACCAUCAGAACCGCGAAGAACCUUAGCCGAAACUGUUGGGAAACAGUGCCGAAGACAGUGAAAGCCUGGUAGGCGAAAAAGAGAAACGCGGAGAUGGCACCAGAGUACCGCGGGACACGAGAAAUCCCGUGGGAAGCAGGGGGGACCACCCUCCAAGGCAAAACACAGAUAUCGACCGAUAGCGCAUAGUACCAUGAGGGAAAGGUGAAAAGCACCCCGGGAGGGGAAUGAAAGAGAACCUGAAACCGUAUGUUUACAAGCAGUCGGAGACCGCUUAAUAAUAAGGUCGACGGCGUGCCUAUUGAAGAAUGAACCGGCGAGUUACGAAGCCUGGCAAGGUUAAGCAGGAAAUGCGGAGCCGAAGCGAAAGCGAGUCUUAAGAGGGCGCAAGUCAGGAAGCGUAGACCCGAAACCACAGUGAUCUACCCAUGUCCAGGUUGAAACACAGGUAAAAAUGUGUGGAGGACCGAACCUAUAUCCGUUGAAAAGGGUUAGGAUGAGGUGUGGGUAGGGGUGAAAUUCCAAUCGAACGUGGAGAUAGCUGGUUCUCCCCGAAAUAGCUUUAGGGCUAGCCUCAGGGAAAAGAUUGCAGGCGGUAGAGCACUGAUCAGGAGAGGGACCUACCCGGUUACCAAACCCAGUCAAACUCCGAAUGGCUGCAAUCAUACCUGGGAGUCAGACUGCGACUAAUAAGGGCCGCAGUCAAAAGGGAAACAGCCCAGACCAUCAGCUAAGGUCCCCAAUGCCGUGCUAAGUGGAAAAGGAUGUGGCAUUUCAUAAACAACCAGGAUGUUGGCUCAGAAGCAGCCACCAUUUAAAGAGUGCGUAAUAGCUCACUGGUCGAGAGACGCUGCGCCGAAAAUGUCCGGGGCUCAAGCACGGAACCGAAGCUAUGGCAUGAUAGCAAUAUCAUGGGUAGGGGAGCGUUCUUAUAAGGAAGAAGCAUGACCGGAAGGACAUGUGGACGAAUAAGAAGUGAGAAUGCCGGUAUGAGUAUCGAAAAGAAAGGUGAGAAUCCUUUCCACCGAAAGCCCGAGGGUUCCUGAGCAACGAUCGUCGACUCAGGGUAAGUCGGGACCUAAGCCGAGGCGAGAAGCGUAGGCGAUGGACAACAGGUUGAAAUUCCUGUACCGGAUCAAGUCGAUCGAGCGAAGGAGCGACGCAGGAGGGCACAUGAUCGCGCGGCUGGAAGAGCGCGUCCAAGUGCGUAUGCUGCUGCAGAGGAAAACCCCUGCAGCUAAAAGCAGAGACAUGAUGGGGAGUUAAAGGAAACUUUGACGAACUCAUGGAUCCCACACUGCCAAGAAAAACUUCUAGCGAGACAAGAUCCGCCCGUACCGUAAACCGACACAGGUAGGCGGGGAGAGAAUCCUAAGGUGCGCGGGAAAACCCUCGUUAAGGAACUCGGCAAAUUGCAUCCGUAACCUAGGGAGAAGGAUGGCCCCCGGUCAGUGAAGAGCAGAAACGCUCAGAGCUAAAAGGGGCGGCAGAAAAGAGGCCCAAGCAACUGUUUACCAAAAACACAGGUGCCUGCGAAAGCGAAAGCUGAAGUAUAGGUGCUGACGCCUGCCCGGUGCCGGAAGGUUAAGGAGAGAAGUUAGCGAAAGCGAAGCAUCGAACUGAAGCCCCGGUGAACGGCGGCCGUAACUAUAACGGUCCUAAGGUAGCGAAAUUCCUUGUCGGGUAAG
rnacentral:rRNA from 1 species